rnacentral:tRNA from 1 species
CGGGGCGUAGUAUAGUGGUAGUACACGAGCAUGGGGUGCUUGUAGUAGGAGUUCAAUUCUCCCCGCCCCGACCA